CGGAGGGUGCAAGCGUUAUCCGGAUUCACUGGGUUUAAAGGGUGCGUAGGUGGGCUGAUAAGUCAGUGGUGAAAUCUCUAGGCUUAACCUGGAAACUGCCAUUGAUACUAUCGGUCUUGAAUCUCGCGUAGGUAAGCGGAAUAUGUCAUGUAGCGGUGAAAUGCUUAGAUAUGACAUAGAACACCAAUUGCGAAGGCAGCUUACUUCACGAGUAUUGACACUGAGGCACGAAAGCGUGGGGAGCAAACAGGAUUAGAUACCCUGGUAGUCCACGCCCUAAACGAUGGAUACUCGACAUCAGCGAUACACUGUUGGUGUCUGAGCGAAAGCAUUAAGUAUCCCACCUGGGAAGUACGACCGCAAGGUUG
rnacentral:rRNA from 1 species